rnacentral:sRNA from 1 species
ACAUAGCCCGGAUUGUAGUGGAAAUCCUUUUUUGCUUUUACUAAAAGUUCUAUUUAUUAGUGAAAACUUCUUGCAAAAAAAGAUUGCAACGGAAAGCGGGAUUAGCU